AAAACCAAAGCCCACAAGCCCACAGAUCCACAGUCUCACACCCUGCAGGCCUGGGCCAGCCGUGUUUGCUUGGGUUCGGGAUGGAUUGGAGGGCGUCCGAGGCAUGGAUGGUCCCCAGGGCCCCAAAGGGAGCUUGGGACCCCAGGGAGAGCCAGGACCUCCUGGACAACAGGGCACCCCUGGGACCCAGGGUCUCCCUGGGCCCCAGGGUGCCAUCGGCCCUCAUGGAGAGAAGGGUCCUCAAGGGAAGCCAGGGCUCCCUGGCAUGCCUGGGUCCCCCAGGUGAGGUGAUCCAGCCACUGCCCAUUCAGAUGCCCAAGAAGACUCGGCGCUCGGUGGAUGGAAGCCGCCUGAUGCAGGAAGAUGAGGCCAUACCGACCGGGGGAGCCCCCGGCAGUCCUGGGGGGCUGGAGGAGAUCUUUGGCUCACUCGACUCCCUGCGGGAGGAGAUCGAGCAGAUGAGGCGGCCGACGGGGACCCAGGACAGCCCUGCUCGCACCUGCCAGGACCUGAAGCUGUGCCACCCAGAGCUUCCCGAUGGAGAGUACUGGGUCGACCCCAACCAGGGCUGUGCUCGGGAUGCCUUCCGAGUUUUCUGCAACUUCACAGCAGGGGGUGAGACCUGUGUGACGCCUAGGGAUGAUGUCACGCAGUUCUCUUACGUGGACUCAGAGGGCUCCCCAGUGGGUGUGGUCCAGCUCACCUUCCUGCGGCUGCUCAGCGUCUCAGCCCACCAGGACGUCUCCUACCCCUGCUCUGGAGCAGCCCGUGAUGGUCCCCUGAGACUCCGCGGGGCCAAUGAGGAUGAGCUGAGCCCGGAGACUAGCCCCUAUGUCAAAGAAUUCAGAGAUGGCUGCCAGACACAGCAAGGCCGGACGGUGCUGGAGGUGCGAACGCCUGUGCUGGAGCAGCUGCCAGUGCUGGAUGCCUCCUUCUCAGACCUGGGAGCCCCACCGAGGCGGGGAGGGGUGCUGCUGGGGCCUGUCUGCUUCAUGGGAUAGGACCAUCUCUGUCUGAUCCUGUCCAUCGGAACCAGGCCCACCUGGAAUCCCACAACAUCAGCUCUGUGCCACCUCCCAAGAGGGCUCCUCACUAUCUAGGGAGCCCUGGGCCAGGGCGUGGAGAGCCCUCAGUCAGGGGCAGGCCAGGGGAGGGGUGAAGUGGUUGCCUGGACACCCCACGGGAGGAGUGGCAUCUGGGGCUCUUGGCCCUCCCACCUGGAGCCUGUGACCCGUUAGAGAGCUGAGACCCUUAUUUAAAACUCACCUCCCAAUCACCCCAAACAAAUGGAAGAGAAGAGAAAGGACAUGGUGUAUUUUGUAUUUAAAAGUAAUUAUAUUGAUUAUUUAAAGUGUGGAAAGCAAAAUAACAAAAAAGAGAAACGCCAACAAAAAUCAGCAGACGUUGGAGACAGGGCUCUCGGGGGUGGGCUCCGGCACCCACAUCCUGGCGUCAGGACUUUCCUCAGUGACUGUGUGUAGGGGGGUUUCAGGGCUGAACCCCACCUCCCUCCCACCUUCCUCCCACCUCACCUGUCGCACCCACUGUGAAAGUUGGAAUAUGUGGUCUCCCUGGCCUCAAGGCUCUGACUCUGCCAGGGUGGGGCUCUCUAACCCGCAGGUGUUGGCUGCCUGGCCCGUGUGCCCACUGUCUCUUCCACUUGGUCUGGGUCUGGCAGGCACUGCCUGCUACUUGAGGGCCAGGAUGCUCCCCCAGGGAAGAAAUGGAAUAGUGUGGGGUGUGUGCAGGGCUGCAUCCAGCAGAUGGCUGGAAUAUUAAAAUUCUUCUAUAUUGGCUGGUAAAUUGCCAUGGCCCUGAGCCACUGAGUAUGUUUGUUGCCACCCCUGUCCCUCCCCUGGGCACCCCUCACUUUCCCUGAUCCUGCAAUUAAAGGGUUAAUGUGUGGCAUAUGGAAGGGACUCCCAGGACCCUGUGCCCAGCUUCUAUGCUGACUGAUGGUUAAAUAAUGUGAUUGUCUCCUCCC
rnacentral:sRNA from 1 species